CCUACGGGUGGCAGCAGUGGGGAAUAUUGGGCAAUGGGCGCAAGCCUGACCCAGCAACGCCGCGUGAAGGAAGAAGGCUUUCGGGUUGUAAACUUCUUUUCUCAGGGACGAAGAAAGUGACGGUACCUCAGGAAUAAGCCACGGCUAACUACGUGCCAGCAGCCGCCGGACUACGUAGGUGGCAAGCGGUAUCCGGAUUUAUUGGGGGUAAAGGGCGUGGAGGCGGGGGGGCAAGUCAGAUGUGAAAACUCAGGGCUCAACCUUGAGACUGCAUUUGAAACUGUGGUUCUGGAGUGCUGGAGAGGUAAUCGGAAUUCCGGGUGUAGCGGUGAAAUGCGUAGAUAUACGGAGGAACACCAGUGGCGAAGGCGGAUUGCUGGACAGUAACUGACGCUGAGGCGCGAAAGCGUGGGGAGCAAACAGGAUUAGAUACCCGAGUAGUC
rnacentral:rRNA from 1 species